UACAGAGGGGGCCAGCGUUAUUCGGAAUUACUGGGCGUAAAGGGCUCGUAGGCGGCCAACUAAGUCGGAUGUGAAAUCCCCAGGCUCAACCUGGGAACUGCAUCCGAUACUGGAUGGCUUGAAUCCGGGAGAGGGAUGCAGAAUUCCAGGUGUAGCGGUGAAAUGCGUAGAUAUCUGGAGGAAUACCGGUGGCGAAGGCGGCAUCCUGGACCGGCAUUGACGCUGAGGAGCGAAAGCCAGGGGAGCAAACGGG
rnacentral:rRNA from 1 species